rnacentral:tRNA from 2 species
ACCUGGCUGGCUCAGUCUGUAGAGCAUGUGACUCUCGAUCUCAGGAUUGUGAGUUCGAGCCCCACGUUGGGUA